GAGGUCUGUAUUGUAUCUAGUGAUGGAGGUCUGUAUUGUAUCUAGUGAUGGAGGUCUGUAUUGAUGGAGGUCUGUAUUGUAUCUAGUGAUGGAGGUCUGUAUUGUAUCUAGUGAUGGAGGUCUGUAUUGUAUCUAGUGAUGGAGGUCUGUAGUGAUGGAGGUCUGUAUUGUAUCUAGUGAUGGAGGUCUGUAUUGUACCUAGUGAUGGAGGUCUGUAGUGAUGGAGGUCUGUAGUGAUGGAGGUCUGUAUUGUAUCUAGUGAUGGAGGUCUGUAGUGAUGGAGGUCUGUAUUGUAUCUAGUGAUGGAGGUCUGUAUUGUAUCUAGUGAUGGAGGUCUGUAUUGUAUCUAGUGAUGGAGGUCUGUAGUGAUGUUGGCUUUCAGUCGUAUGUCCUUGAAUGAUUCUAACCAUAAUAAUGAUGAUAAAUUCUGUUAUAAGUUAUUUUACCGUCCUGUUAAAACAUAUAUUAGCAGGUAGCAGUGGCGUUGUUGAAUGUAAAUCCCUGCUAUAUUAGCAGGUAGCAGUGGCGUUGUUGAAUGUAAAUCCCUGCUAUAUUAGCAGGUAGCAGUGGCGUUGCUGAAUGUAAAUCCCUGCUAUAUUAGCAGGUAGCAGUGAUGUUGUUGAAUGUAAAUCCCUGCUAUAUUAGCAGGUAGCAGUGGC
rnacentral:lncRNA from 1 species